AACGUAGGACACAAGCGUUAUCCGGAGUUACUGGGCGUAAAGGGCGUGUAGGCGGACGUGUAAGUCUAUUCUGAAAGCUCCUGGCUAAACUGGGAGAGCGAAUGGAGACUGCAUAUCUAGAGUGAGGAAGAGGAAAGUGGAAUUCGCGUGUAGUGGUGAAAUGCGUAGAGAUGCGGAGGAACACCAGUGGCGAAAGCGACUUUCUGGUCCUUAACUGACGCUGAGGCGGCGAAAAGCAUGGGGAGCGAACGGGG
rnacentral:rRNA from 1 species